AGUUCGAUCCUGGCUCAGAUUGAACGCUGGCGGAUGCUUUACAUGCGGUGAGCAGCGGCACGGACUCGGUCUGGUGGCGAGUGGCGAACGUGUGAGUAAUGUAUCGGAACGUGCCUAGUAGCGGGGGAUAACUACGCAAAGCGUAGCUAAUACCGCAUACGCCCUUCGGGGAAAGCGGGGGACCUUCCGGGCCUCACACUAAUAGGCCCGGCCGAUAUCAGAGUUAGCUAGUUGGUGGGGUAACGGCUCACCAGAGCGACGAUCCGUAGCUGGUUUGAGAGGACGACCAGCCACUGCCGGGACUGGGGACACGGCCCAGACUCCUACGGGAGGCAGCAGUAGAAUUUUGGACAAUGGGAAACCCUGAUCCAGCCAUCCCGCGUGUGCGAUGAAGGCCUUCGGGUGUAAAGCACUUUUGGCAGGAAGAAACGGCACGGGAUAAUACCCCCAUUUAUACAACUAAUCACCACUCUGAAUAAGCACCGGCUAACUACGUACAGCAACCAUGACAAUACGUAAGUGCAAGCGUUAAUCAAGAUCUGGGCGUAAAGCGUGCGCGGGCGGUUCGGAAGAAGAUCAUGAAAUCCAGAGCUUAACUUUGGAACUGCAUUUUUUAACUACCGAGGCUAAGUGUAUCCAGAGGGAGGUGGAAUUCCGCGUGUAGCAGUGAAAUGCGUAGAUAUGCGGAAAACACCGAUGGCGAAGGCAAGCCUCUGGGAUAACACUGACGCUCGUGCACGAAAGCGUGGGGAGCAAACAGGAUUAGAUACCCUGGUAGUCCACGCCCUAAACGAUGUCAACUAGCUGUUGGGGCCUUCAGGCCUUGAAGUAGCGCAAUAUGGUGAAAAUUGACCGCCUGGGGAGUACGGUCGCAAGAUUAAAACUCAAAGGAAUUGACGGGGACCCGCACAAGCGGUGGAUGAUGUGGAUGUGCAUUCGAUGCUUGCGAAAAACCCUUACUACCCUUAAAGCAUAUGGAAUCCCGAAGAGAUUGGGAGUGCUCGCAGAACCGGAACACAGGUGCUGCAUGGCUGUCGUCAGCUCGUGUCGUGGGAUGUUGGGUUAAGUCCCGCAACGAGCGCAACCCUUGUCAUUAGUUGCUACGAAGGCACUCUAAUGAGACUGCCGGUGACAAACCGGAGGAAGUGAGGAUGACGUCAAGUCCUCAUGGCCCUUAUGGUGGGGCUUCACACGUCAUACAAUGGUCGGGACGGAGGUCGCCAGCCCACGAGGGGAAUUGUCCCGAAAACCCGAUCAGCCAGUCCGGAUCGCAGUCUGCAACUCGACUGCGUGAAGUCCGAUCACUAGUAAUCGCGGAUCAGCAUGUCGCGGUGAAUACGUUCCCGGGUCUUGUACACCGCCCGUCACACCAUGGGAGUGGGUUUUACCAGAGUAAGUUAGCCUAACCGUAAGGAGGGCGAUUACCACGGUAAGGAUUCAUGACUGGGGUGAGAGUCGUAACAAGGUAGC
rnacentral:rRNA from 1 species